rnacentral:rRNA from 1 species
GACGAACGCUGGCGGCGUGCUUAACACAUGCAAGUCGAACGGAAAGGCCCUGCUUUUGUGGGGUGCUCGAGUGGCGAACGGGUGAGUAACACGUGAGUAACCUGCCCUUGACUUUGGGAUAACUUCAGGAAACUGGGGCUAAUACCGGAUAGGAGCUCCUGCUGCAUGGUGGGGGUUGGAAAGUUUCGGCGGUUGGGGAUGGACUCGCGGCUUAUCAGCUUGUUGGUGGGGUAGUGGCUUACCAAGGCUUUGACGGGUAGCCGGCCUGAGAGGGUGACCGGACACAUUAGGACUGAGAUACGGCCCAGACUCCUACGGGAGACAGCAGUGGGGAAUAUUGCACAAUGGGCGGAAGCCUGAUGCAGCAACGCCGCGUGCGGGAUGACGGCCUUCGGGUUGUAAACCGCUUUCGCCUGUGACGAAGCGUGAGUGACGGUAAUGGGUAAAGAAGCACCGGCUAACUACGUG